rnacentral:rRNA from 1 species
AGUAAGAUGUGAACAUUCCCGGGGCUCCACAUAGGAAACUGCAUAUGAAACUGGCAAGCUAGAGUUUGAGAGGGGGGGUAGAAUUCCCAGGGCAGCAAUGAAUGCGUAUAAUGGGAGGAAAACCGGGGGGCGAAGGCGCCCCCCUGGACGAAGACUGACGCUCAGGUGCGAAAGCGUGGGGAGCAAAACAGGAUUAGAUACCCUGGUAGUCCACGCUGUAAACGAUGUCGAUUUGGAGGUUGUGCCCAUGAGGCGUGGCUUCCGGAGAUAACGCGUUAAAUCGACCGCCUGGGGAGUACGGCCGCAAGGUUAAAACUCAAAUGAAUUGACGGGGGCCCGCACAAGCGGUGGAGCAUGUGGUUUAAUUCGAUGCAACGCGAAGAACCUUACCUACUCUUGACAUCCAGAGAACUUUCCAGAGAUGGAUUGGUGCCUUCGGGAACUCUGAGACAGGUGCUGCAUGGCUGUCGUCAGCUCGUGUUGUGAAAUGUUGGGUUAAGUCCCGCAACGAGCGCAACCCUUAUCCUUUGUUGCCAGCGGUUCGGCCGGGAACUCAAAGGAGACUGCCAGUGAUAAACUGGAGGAAGGUGGGGAUGACGUCAAGUCAUCAUGGCCCUUACGAGUAGGGCUACACACGUGCUACAAUGGCGUAUACAAAGAGAAGCGACCUCGCGAGAGCAAGCGGACCUCAUAAAGUACGUCGUAGUCCGGAUUGGAGUCUGCAACUCGACUCCAUGAAGUCGGAAUCGCUAGUAAUCGUAGAUCAGAAUGCUACGGUGAAUACGUUCCCGGGCCUUGUACACACCGCCCGUCACACCAUGGGAGUGGUUUGUUAUAAAGAAGUAGUUAGCUUAACCUUCGGGAGGGCGCAUAC